rnacentral:rRNA from 1 species
UACGAAGGGGGCUAGCGUUGCUCGGAAUCACUGGGCGUAAAGGGUGCGUAGGCGGGUCUUUAAGUCAGGGGUGAAAUCCUGGAGCUCAACUCCAGAACUGCCUUUGAUACUGGGGACCUUGAGUCCGGGAGAGGUGAGUGGAAUUGCGAGUGUAGAGGUGAAAUUCGUAGAUAUUCGCAAGAACACCAGUGGCGAAGGCGGCUCACUGGCCCGGAACUGACGCUGAGACGGCGAAAGCGUGGGGAGCAAACAGG